GGAUCAAUUCCGGUUGAUCCUGCCGGCGGCCACCGCUAUUGGAAUUCGAUUAAGACAUGCGAGUCGAGAGUCGCAAGGACUCGGCGGACCGCUCA
rnacentral:rRNA from 1 species